ACGCCAUACUCACUGGUCGAAUUGCACUUUCCGCACUCGAGUUCAUGGAGGUGGAUCGUGAUUCCGGAUCAGCAUGCGCGUGAAUACGUCGCUGUAACACGCGUACAACAUGGGAGUGUUUACCGAGCGCCUGUGCUACCGCAGAGGCAGCGACACGUAGGUCAGCGACUGGGGUGAGUCGUACAGUAGCCGUAGGGAACUGCGCUGGAUCACUCUUCUAGGAGACCUAAUGGAAACGCUCAUCUGAUGAGCCUCUGCCUUUCGGUCUCUUGGACAAGACGGCAAAGAGUCACUUUGACCGUCGCGCAUACCUUAAGCGGGUCUGCCGCCUUCGUUUCUCUUUCUUCAGCGAAUGACUUUGGAUCAGCGCUCGCGCGCCGUACCGCGGCCCCCUGUUGAUUAAGAUGGGCGGCCGCUGGCGCUCCGCGAGGGCGCGGCAUAAGCCGCGACGGCCGGUCGGCCUUGCGAGGCUUUGCCUCGAGGUCACCAGCUCGUUACUGGCAGAGCGCGGUCUUUAGGGCUUGUAGCUCAGUUGGUUAGAGCGCGCGCUUGAUAAGCGUGAGGUCGGAGGUUCAAGUCCUCCCAGGCCCACCAUCUCUAGUGCAACCCGAAGGGUUGUCGCUCGCAAUCCGCAAGGAUUGUCGGAUCUCCUCGAUAGAGUAUCAGGGAAACAAUCAGGGGCCGUAGCUCAGCUGGGAGAGCGCCUGCUUUGCAAGCAGGAUGUCGUCGGUUCGAUCCCGUCCGGCUCCACCACUCGCGCAAUUCCGAAGGGAUUGUCGCGGUUCGCGACGAUCCUGCGGAUCGCGCGGAGGUGUCGAGUAGAGAUGAGAAAAGUCAUUCGUAAAAAGGUUUGCGGCGAGCAACGAGCUCUCCGCCUGUUCUGUUUUGACAUCGUAAAGAGAAGAUUUGUUCGAACUUCAUGAGCCGAAAGGUUCGUGAUUUGUCGCAGGAGACGCUCAAUCUCCUGCAUAUGAUGGGUUUGCCUAACCGCGCCCUCGAACCGAUCUCGAGAAGCUGGUCUUUUUGUGCCAAUGACAUCGAAUUGGAUCCCGCACAGGAUCUGGUUCAGGCGACGAUCUCUUCGAGAUCGCGCGGGUGGGCAUUGGCAAUGAGAACGAUCAAGUGUCUUAAGGGCAAUUGGUGGAUGCCUUGGCAUGCACAGGCGAUGAAGGACGUGAUACGCUGCGAUAAGCUACGGGAGGCGAAACCGCGCCUCCUAAAUCCCUUUUGGC
rnacentral:misc_RNA from 1 species